rnacentral:rRNA from 1 species
AGAGUUUGAUCCUGGCUCAGGACGAACGCUGGCGGCGUGCUUAACACWMGCAAGUCGAACGGUGAAAGCGGAGCUUGCUCCGCUGGAUYWGUGGCGAACGGGUGAGUAACACGUGGGCAACCUGCCCCAGACUCUGGGAUAACUUCUCGAAAGAGACGCUAAUACCGGAUACGAACUCUGUAGGCAUCUACGGAGUUGGAAAGUUUUUCGGUCUGGGAUGGGCCCGCGGCCUAUCAGCUUGUUGGUGAGGUAGUGGCUCACCAAGGCGACGACGGGUAGCCGGCCUGAGAGGGCGACCGGCCACUGGGACUGAGACACGGCCCAGGCUCCUACGGGAGGCAGCAGUGGGGAAUAUUGCGCAAUGGGCGAAAGCCUGACGCAGCAACGCCGCGUGCGGGAUGAAGGCCUUCGGGUUGUAAACCGCUUUCAGCAGGGAAGAAGCGAAAGUGACGGUACCUGCAGAAGAAGCACCGGCUAACUACGUGCCAGCAGCCGCGGUAAUACGUAGGGUGCAAGCGUUGUCCGGAUUUAUUGGGCGUAAAGAGCUCGUAGGCGGUUAGUCACGUCGGAUGUGAAAACCCAGUGCUUAACACUGGGCCUGCAUUCGAUACGGGCUGACUAGAGUGUUGUAGGGGAGACUGGAACUCCUGGUGUGCGGUGAGAUGCGCAGAUAUCAGGAAGAACACCGGUGGCGAAGGCGGGUCUCUGGCACUACUGACGCUGAGAGCGAAAGCGUGGGAGCAACAGGAUUAGAUACCUGGUAGUCACGCCGUAAACGGUGGGCGCUAGGUGUGGGGAACAUUCCACGUUCUCCGUGCCGCAGCUAACGCAUUAAGCGCCCCGCCUGGGGAGUACGGCCGCAAGGCUAAAACUCAAAGGAAUUGACGGGGGCCCGCACAAGCGGCGGAGCAUGCGGCUUAAUUCGAUGCAACGCGAAGAACCUUACCUAGGCUUGACAGUUGGGGAAAUCUGGCAGAGAUGCCAGGUCCGUAAGGGCCCCAAAACAGGUGGUGCAUGGCUGUCGUCAGCUCGUGUCGUGAGAUGUUGGGUUAAGUCCCGCAACGAGCGCAACCCUCGUCGUAUGUUGCCAGCGGAUAAUGCCGGGGACUCAUACGAGACUGCCGGGGUCAACUCGGAGGAAGGUGGGGACGACGUCAAGUCAUCAUGCCCCUUAUGUCUAGGGCUGCACGCAUGCUACAAUGGCCGGUACAGAGGGCUGCGAAACCGCGAGGUGGAGCGAAUCCCAAAAAGCCGGUCUCAGUUCGGAUUGGGGCCUGCAACUCGACCCCAUGAAGUCGGAGUCGCUAGUAAUCGCAGAUCAGCAACGCUGCGGUGAAUACGUUCCCGGGCCUUGUACACACCGCCCGUCACGUCACGAAARUMGGCAACACCCGAAGCCGGUGGCCUAACCCUUGUGGGAWKACCGUCGAAGGUGGGGCUGGUGAUUGGGACGAAGUCGUAACAAGGUAACC